AAUUUUUACACAAAAUGACUAUUUUGACCAAUUUUUAACAUUUAUAUUAUCCUUUCUAAUUUUUAACAUUUUUACUUUUUUAAAUUUUCUUUAAUACUUUUUUAAAGUUUUAUAAUUACAUAUUUACUUUUUGUUCUUCUUCCUCAUAUCUAAACUCAUUUAGAUCUGGGUUCAACAAGUCAUCUCUUACUCUCUCAUCAAGCUUAUCGAGCUUUCACACUCGUCUUCGCACAAUCACCAUAUGUAGCUUCUCGUCAUCAGCCUCUUCUCAAGCCACCAUUGUCGUUCAAUCGAUGUUUGUAAGGUCUUCUUCUUCUUCUUCUUCUUCUUCUUCUUCUUCUUCUUCUUCUUCUUCUUCUUCUUCUUCUCAUUUUGCUAAAAUUACAAAAAUAAAAGUUUAGAUUUGAUAGUUUUUAUAAGAGUUUGUUGUUUAUUUGCUUAUUUAUUAUUGACUUUUCUAUUUUUCUUACAGAUUUUAGGAAUUUUGUUCUUAUUCUUUUAGUUGAGUUCUUAUAUAUAUAUAUAUAUAUAUAAAAGUACACUUGCUAGGUGUUUGAUGAAAUGCCCAAGAGAAUUCUUUACUAGCUUAAAGGAAUAAGGCACAUUCAAAUGUAAUUUUAUUUCAACUUUAAGUUAGUAUUUUCAUGGUAUUAUUUAGAUAUUACUUUUGCUGAUCUAUAUUUUAUCUUUUUUAUGAAUCAAAAAUUUUAUCUAAAUAUUUUAAUGGUUACGUUGAUUUAACGUUGUUUAUAAGUUGUUUUAUAUUUGUUUCAUCUUUUAAUUUUUUUAUUGUUGCUGUUUCACCAAGUCAUCCAUUGAAGAGGCUUUUCAGGGAAAAAUGUGAGGUGCAUGAUAAGACCUCUGACGUUGUUGACAAGUUGAAGCUUUCAAAGAAAAAUAUUGUCAAGGUUUAUAAUUUGCUUUUUUAAUUUGUCUUGUUUGAAAUGUUCUCUGAUUGUUGUUCAUUCAUUUGAAAAAAAAAAUCAUAGCAGAAAGUUGUUUUAUAGUUUGUUUAAUGUUGUUUUGAUGUUGUUUUAACUGCUGCAGGACUUGAUUUCUAGUGAUGAUGAACUUCAAAGUUGAUCAGAAUAAACUUGUUGUUCAUUUCUAUUCCUUUGGUAGAAUGAAGUGAGUUGCAAACAUUGAAAGUGUACAAGAAAAUGUUUCAAAGUCUUUUAAGAAAGUUGAAGCCACUAUACAUGAAUUAAUGAUUGAGCAGUGUAUUUGGAGUUAUUUUAUGAUGCUAUUUAAAUAUUCUGUUACAGUGGAGUUAUUAUAUAUUUAUUUAUUUAUUGUUA